GAAGCAUGAGGACAUAUGGUGGUGGCAACUGCUUGUUGGCUCCGUUUUUCUCUUUGGCUCUGGUUAACAAAAAGCAUGAUCAUGAUUAGACCAAUAUAAACCAAAAGAAAUGACCAACUGUUGCAUAAUUAAUAUGCAAGCUAUCGAACUUGUUCUUGCUUAGUGCUCUCAAAUGCAUAUGAUGAUAUAAUAAUUGUCCACCAAGAGCAAACCAAUCACAAGAAUCAUCUCAUAAAAGUUAUAUGAGUGAGCAGCUUAGAGUGUUUAAUAGUUUUAACCAAAUUCACAAUCUUUACCUUAACACUAAUUUAAAAGUGAUUAAAGUAUGUGGUGAUUUAGUAAAAUAACUUAUCUUUAGUGUGGAGAAGAAACAAACGUCCGAGGUUGUCAGAGGUUGUCGAACUUUGUUCGUAUCUUGGUGAAGAAGAUUCAAGACCUUGGUGCCGUCAUAUCUUCAUUUCGAGUUGUGGCUUCUCGGGAAGUGGUAGCCGAGAAGGAAAUAAUGAAUCAAACUCUCCUCAUCCCUGUGACUGCAAGAUUUUGGAGUUGGAAGAUAAUGCACCAGAGCUCGGGAUGGAGCCUGAGAACAUCGUCACUGAUAGAGCCUAAGACGUUGCGCCUCCUUUUCACUUUGAUGAGAAGCUUUUGUGACGUAGAGGCAAGAGCUUGAUGAGAUCGUGCAGAGAUCAUGGUGCGAUUGGUUCCAUUCCAUCUGAGCUAGGAAACAUGUUACGCCUCAGCUACUUGCAACUAAACCGAGAAAAGUCUUGAUCUUCCCGUUACACCACUUAUUGCCGAGAAGGACGUUCGUCGGGCUUCGAUCAUCAUUGGGCUUGUUGGUUCAACGAUCGUGUCUGAUGCCUCUGGAUGGAUGGCUAGUUCUCGACCUCGGUGAGAUCGGAGAUCUCGAGUCAAACUGAUGCUUUGUCUGAACGGAAAGCUCAAGCUCGAUGCUCUCCACCAACGAGCUCUUCUUGGACAUGAAGCUCGUGCCUUUGAAGAUCUUUGGUCCGUUGAUGAGCUUUCACUGUCAAUGCGAUGAACUGACCCACUCGCUGGAUGUCAGGCGGAGGCUAGAAUGGAGACCUUCACGACGUCAAUGCUGCUCUUGUUCUUGUCUCUGCGGUUAGUCAUGGUGAUGAAUCAAGGUCUUGAGGUCAGCUUGCCGUAAUUGGCAAGAGCUUCUCAAACUUCUCAUGAGACAUCAUCAUGGCCCUUGGCAUUAAAAAGCUUCUUGAGGCCCAAAGGCUCUCGCCAUCUGGUCUCACAUGAUAAAGGAGGAAGCUUUCUUAUGUAGCCUUGCUUGAUGUCACCGAAGACCCACCGACGAGCCUGGAACCGAGCCGAAUCUCUGAAACCACGAGCUGGAGGCACAGAGGGAGGAACCGAGCCGAAUCUCCGCGUUGUAUCUCGCCAUCUGGUCUCACAUGAUAAAGGAGGAAGCUUUCUCAUGGAGCCUUGCUUGAUGUCACCGAAGACCCACCGACGAGCCUGGAACCGAGCAGAAUCUCUGAAACCACGAACUGGAGGCACAGAGGGAGGAACCGAGCCGAAUCUCCACGUUGUACGACCAUCUCAUUGUCGGUUGCAGUUGAGUGGAGCUCGACGGCUCUGAGGAAGCAACGACGGCCUCGUCCAUUUACAAACUCGCCGGAGAUUAGAAGUUGUCUGAAUCUUGUCGGCUCAGGAAUUGACCCACGACAGCCUCUGUUGCCUUUGUCGGAGCUCUAUCUGGACGGUACGGCUACUGCAGGAGAAGCAGGCCGAUCUCUCCUCCCGUCACAUGCUGGUUUGUCGUCGGGACCAUCGAACGGAACUCAACGGAUCUCCGUUUUGACCGGCGACUCCGAAAUCCGAUAAUAAAUUUUUUUUUUUUUUAAAUCGUUCCCAAGUUUGAUAUGCUAUCAAGAUUGUUCUCUUUGGCCCCCUCCUUCUAGCGCCAACUGUUUGAACCGAAAAUGGUGUGUUUGUCGGAUUCAUACAAUGAAGAAUUUAAGAAGUAGAUUUCUUAGAUUCUUGAGGCUAAAGAGAAAUCAACAUAGAAAUCAAAUGGAAAAAGAACAUCAAAAAGAAUUUAUUGAUUAAAGAUUAUAUUACAUGUAUGAUUACAAGUGUCUAUAAAUCUAAGAAUCAAUAAGCUCUUUGUAUGAAGUGUUUAAUAUCCCAAAUGGGAGAAGAGAGACCCUUAAUCAAGAGAAAGAUCUCUUUAUUUAUACAAUGAUAUGUGUAGGGUUUUCUAUCCAAAUGAGCCUAGUACAUUGUCUAAUGGGCCUCGAGGGGAUGUAAAUACACCCCAACAAGCAGGUAACCUUGGCUCGUCAGGAUAUCAACUCACUUGAGAUUUGAAUUGAGAGCAUUGCAAAAUUCGAUUACUGGACUGGUGACUUUAAUCGGACAGGAGCAGCUUCAACUUCCCUGUAAAUCAGAAAGCUCGUAACUUGCUUGCAGAUGUUGAAACCAAGGUGGUUGAAAAACUUUGCUGACUGCCUGCUUGAAGGCAAUCUCACAGAGGGAGCGAGCAACCACGGUGAAAAUAAUCGGUAUAGCUAAGGCCCAUGACAAGUCGAGGCCAUUGUUAUCAAGGGUUGCUUUUAGCUAGCUGUUGUUGAUUUGGGAGUUUCCUGAUGGCAGUUGCCUUGCGGAUGGAUGUAUCAUGUAUAUAUAUAAACUGGUCUCUCUUAUAAUUUAUUAGCUGGCUUGGUUUGUUUGUUCUUCCCCACGUGGGUCUUGUGAUGUUUUGUUUUUACUUAGGAGGGUCUUCCGUGAGGAGUUUAUUUAUUGACAUGGACAUUUGCUUUGUUCGGAUUUAGACUAUGAACCAAUUAAAACACAAAGUUGAUGCGUGGGGAGAAUUAUGUUAUAUACACAUGGGAUGUAAAAGUGGGCAAUACAAGCCAAGUGAAGAGAAAUAAUAUGGUUUGAGAAACA